rnacentral:rRNA from 1 species
AUCUACGGCCAUACCACCCUGAACGUGCCCGAUCUCGUCUGAUCUUGGAAGCAUUAGAUGGCACCAGGCAAGCAGCACCUGCCACUUAGCAGGCUAGUAGUCAUGUGGUUU